GGGCGUGUGGUCUAGUGGUAUGAUUUCUGUUUCGCACCGUCUGCGAUCUUACAGAAGGUCCCGCGUUCAAUUCGCGGUACGUCCA
rnacentral:tRNA from 1 species